GAUGAACGCUGGCGGCGUGCCUAAUACAUGCAAGUCGAGCGAACGGACGAGGAGCUUGCUUUUCUGAUGUUAGCGGCGGACGGGUGAGUAACACGUGGAUAACCUACCUAUAAGACUGGGAUAACUUCGGGAAACCGGAGCUAAUACCGGAUAAUAUUUUGAACCGCAUGGUUCAAAAGUGAAAGACGGUCUUGCUGUCACUUAUAGAUGGAUCCGCGCUGCAUUAGCUAGUUGGUAAGGUAACGGCUUACCAAGGCAACGAUGCAUAGCCGACCUGAGAGGGUGAUCGGCCACACUGGAACUGAGACACGGUCCAGACUCCUACGGGAGGCAGCAGUAGGGAAUCUUCCGCAAUGGGCGAAAGCCUGACGGAGCAACGCCGCGUGAGUGAUGAAGGUCUUCGGAUCGUAAAACUCUGUUAUUAGGGAAGAACAAAUGUGCAAGUAACUGUGCACAUCUUGACGGUACCUAAUCAGAAAGCCACGGCUAACUACGUG
rnacentral:rRNA from 1 species